rnacentral:rRNA from 1 species
AAAUGCGAUAAGUAAUGUGAAUUGCAAAAUUCAGUGAAUCAUCGAAUCUUUGAACGCACAUUGCGCCCGCCAGUAUUCUGGCGGGCAUGCCUGUUCGAGCGUCAUUUCAACCCUCAAGCCCCCGGGUUUGGUGUUGGGGAUCGGCAAGCCCUUGCGGCA